AUUCACCCGUUCUUAGGCUGGGGCUCUC
rnacentral:sRNA from 1 species